CCAAACCGACACAGGUGGGCAAGUAGAGAAUACUAAGGGGCGCGAGAUAACUCUCUCUAAGGAACUCGGCAAAAUGGCCCCGUAACUUCGGGAGAAGGGGUGCCGGAUUAUAUCCGGCCGCAGCGACCAGGCCCAAGCGACUGUUUACCAAAAACACAGGUCUCCGCUAAAUCGAAAGAUGACGUAUGGGGGCUGACGCCUGCCCAGUGCCGGAAGGUUAAGGAAGCUGGUUAGGAUUACCGAAGCUAGCGACUGAAGCCCCGGUGAACGGCGGCCGUAACUAUAACGGUCCUAAGG
rnacentral:rRNA from 1 species